GUUUCCUCGCCUGGUCCAAGGGAUAAUCCAGUAUUCCUGGGCAGAGGCUGGUGCUAAGGCCAGGACUGACCAGUUCACAGCUCACAGGGGAAGAUUCCUGGAUUUGCUCUCAGCCUUCAGACCCUUCAGGAAAGGCCCAAGAAAAUGUAGCUUGUCCAGGCCAAAGCACUUAUAGCCAGGCUGGAUGGAACAGAAGGGCAACAGAUGACUAGGAAAAAUCUGCCACAGGGAGGAAAAGAGGCAGCAGAAUACUGCCAUAAACAACCUGAGAUGCAGCUCUGAAAUGUACCUGAGGGGCUGCAUGCUGUAAACCAAGCCUCAAUCCUCUGUGCGGGAAGGGGAUGCUAGUGACCCACCACUGGACAGCCCCUCCCUGCAGGCUCCGGGCUGUUUUCCAGGUGAUGAGCUGGGACUGGUCCAGCCAUGUUCAGCCCCACUGGGACCAACAGCUCACACCUGCCAGGCAAUGUGCAGGCCUGUGAUCUCUGUGUUAUCAAUGGGCAGAUGUACUUGUACCCAACACCAUAAAAUUAGCUGAUAGUGUCCUAAUUGGGAACAAACA
rnacentral:antisense_RNA from 1 species